rnacentral:rRNA from 1 species
GCCAGACUCCUACGGGAGGCAGCAGUGGGGAAUAUUGGGCAAUGGGCGCAAGCCUGACCCAGCAACGCCGCGUGAAGGAAGAAGGCCCUCGGGUUGUAAACUUCUUUUGUCAGGGACGAAGAAAGUGACGGUACCUGACGAAUAAGCCACGGCUAACUACGUGCCAGCAGCCGCGGUAAUACGUAGGUGGCAAGCGUUAUCCGGAUUUACUGGGUGUAAAGGGCGUGUAGGCGGGACUGCAAGUCAGAUGUGAAAUUCCAGGGCUCAACCCUGGACCUGCAUUUGAAACUGUAGUUCUUGAGUGAUGGAGAGGCAGGCGGAAUUCCGUGUGUAGCGGUGAAAUGCGUAGAUAUACGGAGGAACACCAGUGGCGAAGGCGGAUUGCUGGACAGUAACUGACGCUGAGGCGCGAAAGCGUGGGGAGCAAACAGGAUUAGAUACCCUCGUAGU